AUCGCUUCUCGGCCUUUUGGCUAAGAUCAAGUGUAGUAUCUUAUUUUCUUGUCUAUGUGCUUCAAAUUUACAGUGAUCCUAUACACUACCGUUU
ensembl:snRNA U2 U2 spliceosomal RNA